GAUGAACGCUGGCGGCGUGCCUAAUACAUGCAAGUCGAGCGAACGGACGAGAAGCUUGCUUCUCUGAUGUUAGCGGCGGACGGGUGAGUAACACGUGGAUAACCUACCUAUAAGACUGGGAUAACUUCGGGAAACCGGAGCUAAUACCGGAUGAUAUUUUGAACCGCAUGGUUCAAAAGUGAAAGACGGUCUUGCUGUCACUUAUAGAUGGACCCGCGCUGCAUUAGCUAGUUGGUAAGGUAACGGCUUACCAAGGCAACGAUGCAUAGCCGACCUGAGAGGGUGAUCGGCCACACUGGAACUGAGACACGGUCCAGACUCCUACGGGAGGCAGCAGUAGGGAAUCUUCCGCAGUGGGCGAAAGCCUGACGGAGCAACGCCGCGUGAGUGAUGAAGGUCUUCGGAUCGUAAAACUCUGUUAUUAGGGAAGAACAUAUGUGUAAGUAACUGUGCACAUCUUGACGGUACCUAAUCAGAAAGCCACGGCUAACUACGU
rnacentral:rRNA from 1 species